AAUGAACGUUGGCGGCGUGGAUUAGGCAUGCAAGUCGAGCGAGAACCGUAGCAAUACGGGGACAGCGGCGAAAGGGACAGUAAUGUGUAGAUUAUCUGCCCUCAGGUCUGGGAUAGCUGCGGGAAACUGCAGGUAAUACCAGAUGACAUCUCCGGAUCAAAGGUGUGAUUCCGCCUGAGGAUGAGUCUACAUCCUAUUAGCUAGUUGGUGGGGUAAUGGCCUACCAAGGCUAUGAUGGGUAGCGGGUGUGAGAGCACGACCCGCGUCAUUGGGACUGAGACACUGCCCAGACACCUACGGGUGGCUGCAGUCGAGAAUCUUCGGCAAUGGGCGCAAGCCUGACCGAGCGACGCCGCGUGUGGGAUGAAGGCCUUCGGGUUGUAAACCACUGUCAGAGGGGAUGAAAUGCAGGUGGGUUCUCCCAUCUGUUUGACAUAGCCUCAGAGGAAGGACGGGCUAAGUUCGUGCCAGCAGCCGCCGUAACAC
rnacentral:rRNA from 1 species